CUUGAGCGAUCCGAGCCACAGCGGAGCAUCCUCCGGCCGGUCCUGGCCGUAGGUGGCGAGGAUGGCCUGGGCCUC
rnacentral:antisense_RNA from 1 species